GACGUAGGGGGCCAGCGUUGCUCGGAAUUACUGGGCGUAAAGGGUUCGUAGGCGGUGUGGCAAGUCGGGAGUGAAAUCUCUGGGCUUAACUCAGAGGCUGCUUCCGAAACUGCCGUGCUAGAGUGCGGGAGAGGCGAGUGGAAUUGCAGGUGUAGCGGUGAAAUGCGUAGAUAUCUGCAGGAACACCCGUGGCGAAGGCGGCUCGCUGGACCGCAACUGACGCUCAUGCACGACAGCGUGGGGAUCAAACAGG
rnacentral:rRNA from 1 species